GUCUAUGGCCAUGCCACCCUGAACAAGCCCGAUCCUGUCUGAUCUCGGAAGCUAAGCAGGGUCGGGCCUGGUUAGUACUUGGAUGAGAGACCACCUAGGAAGACCAGGUGCUAUAGGCA
rnacentral:rRNA from 1 species